UACGUAGGUGGCAAGCGUUGUCCGGAAUUAUUGGGCGUAAAGCGCGCGCAGGCGGUCCUUUUAAGUCUGAUGUGAAAAGCCCACGGCUCAACCGUGGAGGGUCAUUGGAAACUGGGGGGACUUGAGUGCAGGAGAGAAGAGUGGAAUUCCACGUGUAGCGGUGAAAAUGCGUAGAGAUGUGGAGGAACACCAGUGGCGAAGGCGACUCUUUGGCCUGU
rnacentral:rRNA from 1 species